rnacentral:rRNA from 1 species
GACGAACCGUGCGAACGUUGUUCGGAAUCACUGGGCUUAAAGGGUGCGUAGGCGGGUUGUCCAGUCUGGGGUGAAAUCCCACGGCUCAACCGUGGAACUGCCUCCGAUACUGACGACCUCGAGGGAGGUAGGGGCGAGCGGAACUGUGGGUGGAGCGGUGAAAUGCGUUGAUAUCCACAGGAACUCCGGUGGCGAAGGCGGCUCGCUGGACCUCUUCUGACGCCGAGGCACGAAAGCUAGGGGAGCAAACAGG